UACAGAGGGUGCAAGCGUUGUUCGGAAUUAUUGGGCGUAAAGCGCGUGUAGGCGGUCUGGCAAGUCGGGUGUGAAAUCUCCGGGCUUAACUCGGAAAGGUCAACUGAUACUGUGCGACUAGAGUGCGGAAGGGGCAACUGGAAUUCUCGGUGUAGCGGUGAAAUGCGUAGAUAUCGAGAGGAACACCUGCGGCGAAGGCGGGUUGCUGGGCCGACACUGACGCUGAUGCGCGAAAGCCAGGGGAGCGAACGGG
rnacentral:rRNA from 1 species